rnacentral:rRNA from 1 species
GACGAACGCUGGCGGCGUGCUUAACACAUGCAAGUCGAACGCUGAAGCCCAGCUUUUGUUGGGUGGAUGAGUGGCGAACGGGUGAGUAACACGUGAGUAACCUGCCCCCUUCUUUGGGAUAACGCCCGGGAACGGGUGCUAAUACUGGAUAUUCACUGGUCUUCGCAUGUGGGCUGGUGGAAAGGGUUUUUCUGGUGGGGGAUGGGCUCGCGGCUUAUCAGCUUGUUGGUGGGGUGAUGGCCUACCAAGGCUUUGGCGGGUAGCCGGCCUGAGAGGGUGACCGGUCACAUUGAGACGGCGAUACGGCCCAGACGCGUACGGGGUGCAGAAGUGGGGAAUAUGGAACAAUGGGUGAAAGCCUGAUGCAGCGUGGGCGCGUGAGGGAUGGAGGCCUUCGGGUUGUGAAGCUCUUGCGCUCAUAGUCAAGCCGCAACAAUGGUUGUGGUGAGGGUAGUGGGUAAAGAAGCGCCGGCUAACUACGUG